rnacentral:rRNA from 1 species
UACGUAGGGGGCAAGCGUUGUCCGGAAUUAUUGGGCGUAAAGAGCGUGUAGGCGGUCCGGUAAGUCCGCUGUGAAAGUCGGGGGCUCAACCCUCGGAUGCCGGUGGAUACUGUCGGGCUUGAGUACGGAAGAGGCGAGUGGAAUUCCUGGUGUAGCGGUGAAAAUGCGCAGAUAUCAGGAGGAACACCAAUUGCGAAGGCAGCUCGCUGGGACGUUACUGACGCUGAGACGCGAAAGCGUGGGGAGCAAACAGG